CCUACGGGGGACAGCAGUAGGGAAUAUUGCUCAAUGGGGGAAACCCUGAAGCAGCAACGCCGCGUGGAGGAUGAAGGUUUUCGGAUUGUAAACUCCUUUUGUUAGAGAAGAUAAUGACGGUAUCUAACGAAUAAGCACCGGCUAACUCCGUGCCAGCAGCCGCGGUAAUACGGAGGGUGCAAGCGUUACUCGGAAUCACUGGGCGUAAAGGGCGCGUAGGCGGGAUAGCAAGUCAGAUGUGAAAUCCUAUGGCUUAACCAUAGAACUGCAUUUGAAACUGUUAUUCUAGAGUAUGGGAGAGGUAGGUGGAAUUCUUGGUGUAGGGGUAAAAUCCGUAGAGAUCAAGAGGAAUACUCAUUGCGAAGGCGACCUGCUAGAACAUAACUGACGCUGAUGCGCGAAAGCGUGGGGAGCAAACAGGAUUAGAUACCCGAGUAGUC
rnacentral:rRNA from 1 species